GUACUGAUGAAGAGUUCCAAACUAGGACGAAAUAGCUGUCCAGUAC
rfam:Trichobilharzia regenti genome assembly, scaffold: TRE_scaffold0041778